rnacentral:rRNA from 1 species
UACGGGGGGAGCAAGCGUUGUUCGGAUUUACUGGGCGUAAAGGGCGCGUAGGCGGUCAGUGCAAGUCAGUUGUGAAAUCUCCGGGCUUAACUCGGAACGGUCAACUGAUACUGCUCGACUAGAGUGCGGAAGGGGCAACUGGAAUUCUUGGUGUAGCGGUGAAAUACGUAGAUAUCAAGAGGAACACCUGCGGCGAAGGCGGGUUGCUGGGCCGACACUGACGCUGAGGCGCGAAAGCUAGGGGAGCGAACGGG